rnacentral:rRNA from 1 species
GAUGAACGCUGGCGGCGUGCCUAAUACAUGCAAGUCGAGCGAACGGACGAGAAGCUUGCUUCUCUGAUGUUAGCGGCGGACGGGUGAGUAACACGUGGAUAACCUACCUAUAAGACUGGGAUAACUUCGGGAAACCGGAGCUAAUACCGGAUAAUAUUUUGAACCGCAUGGUUCAAAAGUGAAAGACGGUCUUGCUGUCACUUAUAGAUGGAUCCGCGCUGCAUUAGCUAGUUGGUAAGGUAACGGCUUACCAAGGCAACGAUGCAUAGCCGACCUGAGAGGGUGGUCGGCCGCACUGGAAGUGAGACACGGUCCAGACUCCUACGGGAAGCAGCAGUAGGGAAUCUUCCGCAAUGGGCGAAAGCCUGACGGAGCAACGCCGCGUGAGUGAUGAAGGUCUUCGGAUCGUAAAACUCUGUUAUUAGGGAAGAACAUAUGUGUAAGUAACUGUGCACAUCUUGACGGUACCUAAUCAGAAAGCCACGGCUAACUACGUG